AUUGAACGCUGGCGGCAUGCCUUACACAUGCAAGUCGAACGGCAGCACGGGAGCAAUCCUGGUGGCGAGUGGCGAACGGGUGAGUAAUAUACCGGAACGUGCCCAGUCGUGGGGGAUAACGUAGCGAAAGCUACGCUAAUACCGCAUACGAUCUAUGGAUGAAAGCGGGGGAUCGCAAGACCUCGCGCGAUUGGAGCGGCCGAUAUCAGAUUAGGUAGUUGGUGAGGUAAAGGCUCACCAAGCCGACGAUCUGUAGCUGGUCUGAGAGGACGACCAGCCACACUGGGACUGAGACACGGCCCAGACUCCUACGGGAGGCAGCAGUGGGGAAUUUUGGACAAUGGGCGCAAGCCUGAUCCAGCAAUGCCGCGUGCAGGA
rnacentral:rRNA from 1 species